UUGAGUGUUUUACUGUUUCUGC
rnacentral:siRNA from 1 species